rnacentral:lncRNA from 1 species
UUUUUUGUUGGUGGUGGUGGUUGGUUGGUUUUUUUGUUUGUUCAUUUGUUGUUUUCUUAUACUAACAUUUUUGAUCAAUCCCCUUAUUCUUUUUAUUGGAAACAGAAAUAACUGGGUAUCUUAUUCAACACUAUCUGCAAAAAACAGGACACUUUGUAAUCAGGAUUCCUUGGGCAGUAUGUUGCAGUAUGAUGGCCUACAGGGCACACAAGGGAGAAGACAAAUACAUGGUCUCUUAAUUCUGCCUGGGCUUAUACACUGGAUCAAUACACAGCAGAAGGCCCACAUACUUUGGAAGUGGAAGUGAGGGCUGGAAGCCCAUCUGAGAUGGUUUUUGCACACACGAAAAUGCAAUAGUAGUUUUGGAGCAUCAGAACCUACAAUUUUAAGUUGUUUAGUGAAAGCCAGACUUCGUCAUAUUUAAAUCUGAAUUUGGGAAUUUGGUUUUAUUCUGUACAGGUGAAAGUGAUGUAUCUAAAAUUUUUCAUCUGUCUGCAAGAGAAACUAUUGACUAGUCAAACCAUUCAUAUGAACAGUGUCAUGGACAAGUAUAAUUCCCUGUUCUGUGUAAUUUAGAGGUAGAAAUUUAAGUUUGGUCUACCAUAAACUGAAGGACUUACCUUGCAGUGGUUAAUGAAGCUUUUAUUUUUGUGUAUAUGAAAGUCAAUCAUGAAAGUGGAGCAGAUCCAAGUAUCAGUCUUAAUUUGUAGAAAAGACAGAUAAAUGAUUUAAUGUAGAAGCUGAUAGAGUCCGUAGCUAUAUGCUCCUCUCUUAUUGUCCCUAUAGUGCUGUUAUAGCCCUGAUACAUUCUAGCUGGACCAGUUGUCAUCAGCUAUCUCAUGCCAGAACUGAGUAAUAUCGUAAAAAUUUUGGCUUCAGUUAAUCAGCUUCUUUCAACACAAGUUAUUUCACUGGAAAAUGUAGGCAUCAAUUUUAAUUAUGACGUAUCAGAGUUGCUAAGAUACUUGUUUGUUUGACUAAGUGUCAGUAACAAUAAGACAGUAUGUUUGACAGAGUUUCAAAUUCUGCCCUUGAUUAUCUGUGGGA